ACUGAAGCACUAACUCAGACCCUAACUGCUCCAUUUCUAAUCUAACUCCCUGCUAAUGAGCCUGAGAAAGCAGCAAAAGAUGGCCUAAGUACUUAGGCCCCUGCCACCCAUGUGGGAGACCUGGAUGGCAUUUCAGGCUCCCUACUUCAUCCUGGCCAAACCCUGGCAUUGUAGCCAUUUGAGGAGUGAUCAGCAGAUGGAAGAGUCUUUGUGUCUCUCCUCUCUCUGUCAUUUCACCUUUCAAAUAGAGUUGGAAAAUCUCCAGAAGGUCUGUCAACUGCUUGUUCUGGCCUGAGGUGUGGCGAGAUGUUUUGUCAUUGAUGGGAUCCCUCCAAUGGGCACCACGGUGAUGGACAGAUUGGGCUCACUGAAAGGGCCGUGGAGCUGUUCUACUUCUUCAGCUGGGCGGGGGUGGGCUCACCAGCACAUCUGUCCACUGAAGAGGCUGCGGCAUACAAGCAAAGGGUCUUCUACCAACUCAAAGUGAUAUCCCUCACAGCCUGUCUACCUCAUUCAGCUGCCCUUGAGACCUGGUUUCUGGCAUCCUGGAUUUGUUGUGGGAAGAUGUUGUAUUCUAGGUUCUUACCCUCAUGGGAGAUAAAAAUUCAAAGCAGAGACAUAAAUCAAGUGCAAGAAUGGGAGUAUGAUUUAUUCAUUUAUUUAGAGUACACAUUCAGAAAUGAGUGCAGGCAACCACGUGAGGAGAGCUGCAAGCAGUCAGGAGAAUCUUCCUAUGAGAAGAGGGAGUGGGAGAGAGAGAGAGAGAGAGCGAGAGAGAGAGAGAGAGAAAACUCUGUCUCUGAAAGAACAGAGUGACCCCACAAUUAGUAGAGCCCUCCACUGUGUAAGGGGUGGUGCCCUAAUUGGAUAUCAAGUCAUAUGUGAUCUUGUUUUCCUCAACUUUGGAAUAUUCCAGGUCUUUGGAAACCCCUCUUUCUUUUGCAUCUUUCUCUGCUACUCUGUGGAAUAUGCCUACAACGUGCCCUUCCCACCUGCUCUUCCCCUAGUCCUCAGUAAAAGCUUAGUUGAGAUACUGACAGUUGAACCUUUCUCUAAUACAAACAGGGCUAGAGCUGUUGGCUGAGAGAGAACCCCUUUCUUCCUUUUACUUUUUAUUUGAUUUCAUUUCUAAACUUUUGCUUUUCUAAUAUAUUCCUUUAUAUUUGACAGAUGGAUCUUCCAUAGUAAAAUCUCUUGAAUGAGUUAAAUACCAGUAUGCUAAAAGCUUCCAUCAUUUAAAUAAAUAUUCAAUAUAUUCAACAAGUAUACAUAUAUAUUUAAUAUUUUAUUUAUUUAUCUGAAGGGAGAGAGAAAUUGAGACAGAAAGAGAGAAAUUCCAUUUGCUGGUUCACUUCCAAAUGCCUACAAUGGACAGGGCUAGGCCUCUGCCAAAUUUGGGAGCAGGGAACAUAAACUGGAAUUCUAGCACAUGAUGUCAGGGACCCAUCUGCUUGAGCCAUCACUUGAUGCCUUGCAGGGUCUCCUGAUUCAAGAAGUUGGAGUCAGGAGCCAUGGCUGAGAAUCAAACCCAGGCUCUAUAAUGUGGGACAUGGGCACCUCAGCCAUGAAGACUAAACACUUGAUGGCUUCAACAAGCAUCUUUCAAAUCUCUGCUAAGUACAGACAAUUUUGUUUGCUCUGGGUAAUUAAUGGAGCAAAGGAAAAGUGCCUUUGUCUUCACCAAAAAAAAAAAAAAAAAAAAAAAGCUCAAAAGCACAUAUGCCAUUGGAGGGAGGUGGAUAGGCAGCACACACUGGUGAACAUAAAUCUGUCAGAUCAUGAAAAGAGCCAUGAAGUGAAGCAAAAGCAGAAAGUUAAAAUGACUGUGCCUGGAGGUUGGGUGGGUUGUUGUACUUUAAAAUGGGCUGCUGUCAUGGCAUAGCUGGUUAACCAUCGCCCACAAACCUGACAUCCCAUUUGGGUGCCAUUCCAGUUCCAGCUGCUCCACUAUGAAUCCAUCUUCCUGCUAAUGGCCUGGGAAAAGCAGUGGAAGAUAGCUCAAGUUUUUGGGCCCCUGCCACCCAUGUGAGAGACCUGGAUGAAGCUCUUGGCCCUGGCUUCAGCCUGGCCCAGCCCCAGCCAUUCAGCCACCUGGGGAGUGAACCAGUAGAUGGAAGAUAUCUUGAUCUCUAUCUCUCUCUCACCUCUCUCCCCUUACCCCUCUCUCUUCCUCUCCUUCUCUCUGUUAACUCUGACUUUUAAAUAAAUGAAUCUUAAGAAAAUAAAAUAAGAUGGUCUGGGAAGGCCUGGCUGAAAAGGAAACAUUUGUGCAGUGGCCUCAGGAGGUAGAGGAAGAGUGAUGCAAAUAUCUGGGGAAGAGUGUAUGCAGUAAGGCGCACAACAAGAGUAAAACCCUGCAAAAAAGGGUAUGUAAGAACACAGAGACUGCAGUAGGACUGUAGUGUGCAAGAGAGGGGAAAAACAGGAAGAGACUUAGGAUGAUCUGAGGACUUGAGUUUCAUUCUAAGUGAAAAGAAAGCUAUGAGCAAAACAGUGACUAGAGAAUCUCUCAUGUGAGACAAAGGUUGAGCCCAGACCUGGUCUUAACCUGUACAUUAUUCUGUCUGGUUCCCCUUUACUAUGGCUCAUCUCUGAUAUGUUUUUCCUAGGUGCCUGAUUCCCUGACUUUAUAGAGCAGUUUCACUACUCAAAUCUAUCCAGAUUUUCUGUAAAAAUAGAUAAAGCUCUCCUGUCCUUCAUAGGGCAGUUAUUGAAUUGCUUUUACUAUGGACUUCAUUACCUGUGACUUGGAGUUAAAAUAGAUUCCUGGGUUCUGUUCAUUUCUUGAGGAAUCAUUGCAGAUUCUGACUGAUAGAAUGCAUCUCUUCAUCCAAAAUAUUUGUCUGGGUCCUGGUAACUUUUUUUCACCAACUUAUAAGUCAUCUCUUUUUGUUUCUAGGGCACUAUCUCAGAGACGUUUGGCUUAGUAUUACUUUCCCUUUGGUUUUCAGGAUCUCAUUUUUUUUUUUUUGCAUCUAUCUAAUCUAUGUCCUAAUACCUUAAACUAUAUCCUAUGAAAACAUCUCUCUCCAGCCAAGUCAGUUUGUCUUCCCUUGCUGCUUUCUCAGAGCCCACUGAGACUACAACCUGGAUUAUGGAGUCUCUCAGUCACCUUCUGAAAUUUAUAUGAUUUCUGACACCAGCUCUAAGAUGUUAGGUAAUUAUUAAGAAUAGCUGAUCUCAUAAAAUCUGAACUUUUACUCAAGAACAAGAUUGGUCAUUGUCACCCUAUUAGAACAAUGAAAAUAACAGAACUCAGGUUUAGCACAAACCUAUGUAGGCAUUUCUUUAUUGGGUGAAAUCUUUGAAGGGUGGUUGGAGAAAAAAUAAAGUUUCCCUAGAAAUAAUCUCCUUUAAGAACAAGGAAGCAAUAUUUUACCGGCCUGAACUGCCAAAACUCAUUUUUAUAGAAUCAAAUCCAUGAAGAAAUGGCUAUGGUGCAUGUAAUCUUGCGAGUGUUAGAAUUUGCACUUGGUCCCUCUAGUUACCUGAGCUGUGUGAAAAAUUUUUAAAAAAGCCCGUUGUCAGCCCAUUUAUCCUUGGCUACUCAAAAGUAUUAUUACUCUACUUUAAAAAGAGAUUCCAGUUAUGGCCAUCCUAAAUGGUAGAGUUUGAGGACAUACUAAGCUAUUUAACCUCAAGCUUUUUUCCUAUCCUGCCACUCUGCUUUGAUUCUGUUGUGCAAUAAAUGAACCUACUUUGAAGAGUCUACCAUUAGACUCUAUUUCUGAAGUGUAUAGGUACACCUUGGGUUCCUUUUGGCUUGUUAGCAGGCAAUUCUGCCAAUAUUCUUACCUGGAGAGAAUUUUCAGUUGCCUCAAUUUCACUUGGGGCAGAGCAUCCAGAGUUAGUUCCCAGAGGACCAUGAAUCAUGUAUCAUCAGCAAUAUGUAGGGUGAGAUUGAUUGAUUGAUUAAAAGUAUAUUUGAAUUGGCUGAAUGCACAAACUCAUUCACAACAGGAUAUUCAUUCAAAAAUGUUUACUGAACAGCUACUCUAUUUCAGGAACUAUUUUAGUCAGUUUACUGUGAUAAACCAAAGCCUAAAAAUAUGUCACAACUCUUGACAGGCAAACAAAUCAAUGCUCCCCAGUGAUUAGGGUCACUUCCCACUUUGGAUGUCUGUUAUUUAAUUGCCUAGGGUGGGCUCUGGUGAUCUAACUGAACAUCUGAAUCUUUCACUUAAUCUUCCAUUAUAUUUGUAGUCAUAGCAUCAACCAAGCAACUGGAAAAACAGGUGUUAGUAAGAACAUCCAUGCAAUACAAACUAUUAUGUAUAUGGGCGAGGUUCUUGAUAAAUGGCCAUUUCAGCAAUGGGAAUAGAACCACAAAAACACAUCCUUUUGGAGUUAGAAUGGAUUUUAGAUAUCCUAAAACCCAACCGCUGAUGUGAUCCAAGAACUACAAAAUGAUCUACUAAUUCAUUCACAAUGUAAUAAUUUACUCGAACUGUUAAUUUACUACUGGACAAAAAGAAAUGUGAUAGCCACUGAAGAUACAACAAUGAAACGGAUAGAGUUAGCUGCUAGCCUCAUUGAAGGCAUAUGUUAAAGAGUAAGCAUUAGGCAGCUUGUUACAUGGUAUCAUUUAAUUGCAUUGAAGUACAGAUUGUUGUUUUAGUCUAGGGGUUAAGAAGCCUGUGUCCCUCAUCCAGGUGCCUAGAUUUUACUCCUGGCUCUGGCUCCUGACUCCAGGUUCCUGCCAAUGCAGACUCUGGGAGGCAGAGUUGAAUAUUCAAGUAAUAAGGUUCCUGCCACUCAUGUGGGAGACCUGGAUUGAAUUCUUGGUUCUGAGCUUCAGCCUGGCCCAGUCCUGGCUAUUUUGGGAGCAGAUGGGACCUCUUUCCUUUGUCUAUUUCUUAAAUAAAUAAAUAAACAGAUAAAAAGGAAUUCAAGGGGUCCCCAAUAUAGAGAAUGACUCAGGAUGAAGUCAGUGGAGUAGGUCAGAAUCCCAUUAUGCAAGAUUUUCUGCAUCCGGUUAAAUACAUUGAUUGUCAUUCUAAUUGCGAUGUUAACUUAUUUAAGGAGUGUAACAGGUAAAUGAUAUGGCUUCUUUUCUCAGUUACUUUUACUUCUAUACAUACUUUUUUCUAUGUACACUGUUCUCAGGAAAGCUUUGGUGAACAGAGCAAAGACUUCAGACCCUGGCUUUUGAGCUCCUAUGUGGACUUUUACGUUAUUAUUAAUUGUUAUUACUAUUGGGCUUAAAACGCAUAACAUAAAAUGUAGUAUUUAAACCAUUUCUUUAGUUGAAAGACAAAGAGAGGGACAGAUAGUUACAUACACACACAACACACACACACACACACACACACAGAUCUUUUGUCAGCUAGAUCACACCCCAAAAGCCUGCAACAGUCAAGGUUGUAACCCUGGAACUAAAUCCAGGUCUCACACAUGAGUGGUAGGAACCCAAGUACAUCAUCUAUCUGCCUUCCAAUGUGCAUAUUUAGCAGGAAGCUGGAGUUGGAAGUAGAACUGGGACUUAUACCCAGGCUCUCUAAUACAGAAUUCAAGUGUUUCAAAUGGCAUCUUAAUUGCUAUGUCAAACUCUCUCCCUUAUCUUAAACCACUGUUAACUACAUUAAUUUUUGUAAAUGUAGUUAGGGAAGCCAUGGUUUUCAACUCAAGGCCAGCAACUUAAGGAAAUAAAAGAUUUUGACUGGAAAUAAAAAGUGAAAAUCUGAAAAAAGGAAGCACAAAAUGUAUCUAUUAAUCAUCCAUUGAUAAGAAUCUACUCAAUGUGUGAGAAUGAGUUCGAAUCAAAAGGGAAUAACAACAUCUUUGAUUAGCAAGAAUGAGGAAAUCAGGAAAGGAAGCAGGUAAGGUUUAAAAGCAGUGGGAAAGAGAGAGAAAGAGGAAGGAGAGAGAGAAACAAGGAAAGAAGGAAGGACCGAAGGAAGAAAGGAACAGAGGAAGGAAAAUAUCAUUACACUCUUAGAAUUUUAUCUAUAAACUAUAUGGAAUCUGCUGUCUUUGUUUUAAUACUACAAUAACAUAAGGAUUGAUGAGAAUUGUGUUGUAGUAAUUAUAUGUUUGCUAUGACCCCAAGAAUCUAAUUUUUUUAUUGGAAAGGCAGAGUUACACAGAGGCAGAGAGAGAGAGAGAGAGAGAAAGUCAUCCAUCUGCUGGUUCACUCCCCAGAUGGCACAAUGGCUGGAGCUGGGCUGAUCCAAAGCCAGAAGCCAGGAGCUUCUUCCUCAUUCUCCCACAGAGGUAUGGGGCCCUAAGGACUUGGGUCAUUUUCUACUGCUUUCCCAGACCAUAGCAGAGAGCUGUAUCAGAAGUAGAGCAGCUGGAACUUGAACUGGCACCCAUAUGGGAUGCCGGCACUGCAGGUGGUGGCUUUACCCACCAUGCCACAGCGCCAGCCCCAAGAAUCAAAUGUAUUAAUGCAUUCCUUAAAAAUAAAAUAAAUAAAUAAAAUAAUAAUAACUAAAUAUUAAUAAAUAUUCAUGUGUAUCUGUGUGGGUGCUAACUGUUGAAAUCUUUACUUAGUAUAUACCAAGUUGAUCUUAUGUAUAUAAAGAUAAUUGAAAAUGAAUUUUGAUGAAGAAUGGGAUGGGAGAGGAGUGGGAGAUGGGAUGGUUGUGGAUGGUUGUGGUUGAGGGAGA